CUAUUACUCCCUCCGUCCCAAAAUAAGUGACUCAAAAGUGACUCAACUUUACACUAACUUUAGUGUAAAGUUGAGUCACUUUUGAGUAGUGUAAAGUUGAGUCACUUUUGAGUCACUUAUUUUGGGACGGAGGGAGUAGUAU
rnacentral:pre_miRNA from 1 species